rnacentral:rRNA from 1 species
ACACAUGCAAGUCGAACGCUGAAGCCCAGCUUGCUGGGUGGAUGAGUGGCGAACGGGUGAGUAACACGUGAGUAACCUGCCCCCUUCUUUGGGAUAACGCCCGGAAACGGGUGCUAAUACUGGAUAUUCACUGAUCCUCGCAUGGGGGUUGGUGGAAAGGUUUUUUCUGGUGGGGGAUGGGCUCGCGGCCUAUCAGCUUGUUGGUGGGGUGAUGGCCUACCAAGGCUUUGACGGGUAGCCGGCCUGAGAGGGUGACCGGUCACAUUGGGACUGAGAUACGGCCCAGACUCCUACGGGAGGCAGCAGUGGGGAAUAUUGCACAAUGGGCGAAAGCCUGAUGCAGCGACGCCGCGUGAGGGAUGACGGCCUUCGGGUUGUAAACCUCUUUCGCUCAUGGUCAAGCCGCAGCUUUGGGUUGUGGUGAGGGUAGUGGGUAAAGAAGCGCCGGCUAACUACGUGCCAGCAGCCGCGGUAAUACGUAGGGCGCGAGCGUUGUCCGGAAUUAUUGGGCGUAAAGGGCUUGUAGGCGGUUGGUCGCGUCUGCCGUGAAAUCCUCUGGCUUAACUGGGGGCGUGCGGUGGGUACGGGCUGACUUGAGUGCGGUAGGGGAGACUGGAACUCCUGGUGUAGCGGUGGAAUGCGCAGAUAUCAGGAAGAACACCGGUGGCGAAGGCGGGUCUCUGGGCCGUUACUGACGCUGAGGAGCGAAAGCGUGGGGAGCGAACAGGAUUAGAUACCCUGGUAGUCCACGCUGUAA